CGCGGUAUUUUGACCGUGCAAAGGUAGCAUAAUAAUUAGUUUUUUAAUUGGAAGCUGGAAUGAAUGGUUGGACGAGAAAAUCUCUGUCUCUAAUUAAUUUUUAUAGAAUUUUAUUUUUAAGUAAAAAAGCUUAAAUGGAUUUAAAAGACGAGAAGACCCUAUAGAGUUUAAUAUUUUAUUUAAUUUAUAAUUUUUAGUAUUUAGUUUUGUUUUUAGAUAUAAUAUUUUAUUGGGGUGAUAGAAAGAUUAAUUAAACUCUUUUUUUAUUUUUACAUUGAUUUAUGAAAUAUUGAUCCAUUAUUUUGAUUAUAAGAAUAAAUUACCUUAGGGAUAACAGCGUAAUCUUUUUAGAGAGUUCUUAUCGAUAAAAGGGAUUGCGACCUCGAUGUUGGAUUAAAAUUAAUUUUUGGUGAAGAAGCUUUAAAAAUUAAGUCUGUUCGACUUUUAAAAUUUUACAUGAUCUGAGUUUAAACCGGUGUGAGCCAGGUUGGUUUCUAUCUUUAGAUAAUUAAAAUAUUUUAGUACGAAAGGACCAAUUAUUUAAUAAAUUUAUUUUUAUUUUUGAAUUUUAUUGUUACUUUGGCAGAUUAGUGCGUUAGAUUUAGAAUCUUUUUAUGUAAAUUUUUACAGGUAAUAUUUGUUUAUAUUUGAUAUUUUAUUAAUUUUUGUUACUACAAUUCUUUUAGUGAUUUUUGUUUUAGUGGGCGUAGCUUUUUUUACUUUGUUGGAGCGUAAAGUUUUA
rnacentral:rRNA from 1 species